rnacentral:rRNA from 1 species
UACGUAGGGGGCAAGCGUUGUCCGGAUUUAUUGGGCGUAAAGAGCGCGUAGGCGGCCGCAUAGGUCCGCUGUGAAAACUGGAGGCUUAACCGUCAGACGUCGAUGGAAACCGUGCGGCUAGAGUCCGGAAGAGGAGAAUGGAAUUCCUGGUGUAGCGGUGAAAUGCGCAGAUAUCAGGAAGAACACCCGUGGCUAAGGCGGUUCUCUAGGCCGAUACUGACGCUGAGGAGCGAAAGCGUGGGGAGCAAACAGG